CUUCAUCCUUAUACCUCUGAUGUAAUAAUAAUGCACAUAUUUAUUUCUAUUGUAAAUGCAUUUCUUAUCAAUAAUUUAGCAACAAGUGAGGAGAACACAGACAGUCAGCAGGUGCUCCAGAAGACUAUUGAGACGCUUUAUGUGAGCAUCAGGCAGAGAAAGCAAGAUCUUUACCGUCAAUCAGAUGGGAACAAGAGAAGACACAAACUCCGAAGAAAGAUUUUGGAAGAAAAAAAGCCAAAUUUUUGUGCAGCUGUAGAUGACUACAACAGGGCAGCAACUGAAAAACUGCAGUCAGCUGAUACAAUACUGGCAUCUGAGAGCUAUGCAUGGCCAUGGGUCCUUGAUGAACGUGGUAUGUCUUGUUACUCAUUUAAAUUCGGAUGAAUGUACUGUGUUUAUGUAGCAGCUUAUCUGUUUACAGUGGAUAUUGUUUGCAACUGUUGUACAGCAGGAUAUUUUGCAUGUUUCCUACAGUGUGUAUGCAUUUUGUCCGGCUAUAGCAAGCUUGUUCUGCAAUAGUGUAAGCACAUCUAGGACCGGUUUCACAGACAAGAGCUUAGACUAAGCUAGGAUUAGGUCAUAGGUUUAAGAUUUAAGUAGCUUUUAUAAAUGUGCCAUAGGAAACAAAACAUUACUGGUGCGCUUCUUGCGACCAAACAAUAGCAUUAACAAAUUUUAAGAUAUGUAAGUGCAGAUGGGUUUCAUCUUCACAGAUAAUCUUGCAACCAGGCCUUUGACCAACUGAUGCUGCUGAACCGGCUUACUGAAGAGGAGUGCAUUGUUCUGAAAGAAAUCCGGAAUCACUGGAAAAGCCUUACAAGGGAGCAUUCUCUUCUAAAUGAUCUUUUAAGUCAUGUUGCUGUUGAGAUAAAAGAGAACAAACAGGACUGUGGAAUUUCUGAAAAUGGAAUUCUUGGACUUCACUCUCUUCUGAAGAAAAGACUGUCUUACCUUAGAAGUCACAUCUCCUCUGUUCGUCAGCUGUACAGUAGUGUUCUUAAUUGUGAGGUGUUUGAAAAAAUGAAAGAUGAUGAUCUCAACAUGGAUGAGGAGGAUAUCCAGUAUGUUUUGGAGUAUGAAGAUGAUGAUGACGAGGAGGAGGAGGAGGAGGAAGAUGAAGCCGAAGUCUCAUUUAAAAUCUAAACACUAGGCCAGGGGUAGGUAACGGCGGUCUUGAAGAGCCACUGUCGUGCAGAGUUUAGCUCCAAUCUUGAAAAAAAACUAACUCAACGGCCUGUAGCCUUAGAAAUGCUGAAGACCUUGAUUAGCUUGUUCAGGUGUGUUUGAUUACAGGACAGUGGCUUUCCAGGACCAGCGUUGUCUACCACUGCACUAGCCAUAAUUCAGUUGCUGACUUUGUAAAUCAUAUCUAUGAAAAACUGAGCAACAUACACUAAAUGACUUUCAUUUCAUUUAAUUUAUAUUUAAUUUUUAAUUUCUUAAUUAAUUUCUUGUUAAUUGAUGAAACACUGACGGGGUGUUGUCAGAUAUGUAAUUCCAAAGUGAACUUCUUAUGUUUGUAUAAUAAAUUUCAUAACUGACAUUGUAAAACAUUAUUGCUCUCAUUAUAUGUAUAGUUACUUAUGUAUAGCUUCUUGUAUAUAUGUAUAGCUUCUUGUAUAUAUGUAUAGCUUCUUGAUGUAACAAACAUGUAAUAUGCAUUUAAUGAUUCUCUGGACAAUAUUUUAUCAAAACUUUAUUGAACAUUAUAUUGUCUGUUGCAAAAAUUACAAAAUUGAUCUUACAUUAUUCUUGAACCAUUAUGUAAAUAAAAAUAUCCACCUAGGUUCUUUGUGAUCCGUGCCCUUAUAGACUGAUUAACAUAACUGGUCAGUUUGAUUUAUAGGCAAGUUAAAGUCAGCAUUAUUGAAUUUAUGUGUGAAAUGCAUAAAAUUGAGGAUCUAAUUAAUUUCAUGCUUAAGAAGUUUACAAGUGCCAUAUCUUUAAAAGUCUAAAUGUUGUGCUUUAAUAUUACCUUACUCCCUGGUUUAUACAAUGGGAACCAUAAAAUAUUACUUUAUACUUCUUGGGAAGAUAUAUGUAGGUGUAUACUAUAUGUAUUUAUAGGAAUGUAUGCAUUCAUCUCGUAAUUUUCAAAUUCACCAUAUAAACCCGGAAGACCUGUC
ensembl:lncRNA